AUUGAACGCUGGCGGCAGGCCUAACACAUGCAAGUCGAGCGGAUGAAGGGAGCUUGCUCCUGGAUUCAGCUGCGGACGGGUGAGUAAUGCCUAGGAAUCUGCCUGGUAGUGGGUGAUAACGUCCGGAAACGGGCGCUAAUACCGCAUACGUCCUGAGGGAGAAAGUGGGGGAUCUUCGGACCUCACGCUACCAGAUGAGCCUAGGUCGGAUUAGCUAGUUGGUGGGGUAAAGGCCUACCAAGGCGACGAUCCGUAACUGGUCUGAGAGGAUGAUCAGUCACACUGGAACUGAGACACGGUCCAGACUCCUACGGGAGGCAGCAGUGGGGAAUAUUGGACAAUGGGCGAAAGCCUGAUCCAGCCAUGCCGCGUGUGUGAAGAAGGUCUUCGGAUUGUAAAGCACUUUAAGUUGGGAGGAAGGGCAGUAAGUUAAUACCUUGCUGUUUUGACGUUACCAACAGAAUAAGCACCGGCUAACUUCGUG
rnacentral:rRNA from 1 species